rnacentral:rRNA from 1 species
CCCGCGUGUAUGAUGAAGGCCUUCGGGUUGUAAAGUACUUUUGGCAGAGAAGAAAAGGUAUCCCCUAAUACGGGAUACUGCUGACGGUAUCUGCAGAAUAAGCACCGGCUAACUACGUGCCAGCAGCCGCGGUAAUACGUAGGGUGCAAGCGUUAAUCGGAAUUACUGGGCGUAAAGCGUGUGUAGGCGGUUCGGAAAGAAAGAUGUGAAAUCCCAGGGCUCAACCUUGGAACUGCAUUUUUAACUGCCGAGCUAGAGUAUGUCAGAGGGGGGUAGAAUUCCACGUGUAGCAGUGAAAUGCGUAGAUAUGUGGAGGAAUACCGAUGGCGAAGGCAGCCCCCUGGGAUAAUACUGACGCUCAGACACGAAAGCGUGGGGAGCAAACAGGAUUAGAUACCCUGGUAGUCCACGCCCUAAACGAUGUCAACUAGCUGUUGGGGCCGUUAGGCCUUAUUAGCGCAGCUAACGCGUGAAGUUGACCGCCUGGGGAGUACGGUCGCAAGAUUAAAACUCAAAUGAAUUGACGG